rnacentral:rRNA from 1 species
GACGAACGCUGGCGGCGUGCUUAACACAUGCAAGUCGAACGGAAAGGCCCUGCUUGCCGGGUACUCGAGUGGCGAACGGGUGAGUAACACGUGGGUGAUCUGCCCUGCACUUCGGGAUAAGCCUGGGAAACUGGGUCUAAUACCGGAUAGGAGCCAUUUUUAGUGUGAUGGUUGGAAAGUUUUUUCGGUGUAGGAUGAGCUCGCGGCCUAUCAGCUUGUUGGUGGGGUAAUGGCCUACCAAGGCGGCGACGGGUAGCCGGCCUGAGAGGGUGGACGGCCACAUUGGGACUGAGAUGCGGCCCAGACUCCUACGGGAGGCAGCAGGGGGGAAUAUUGCACAAUGGGCGCAAGCCUGAUGCAGCGACGCCGCGUGGGGGAUGACGGCCUUCGGGUUGUAAACGCCGUUCGCUAGGGACGAAGCUUUGUGUGACGGUACCUAGAUAAGAAGCACCGGCUAACUACGUG